GUGGAUGAGGCAUGCAAGUCGAACGGAGCAAAAUUAACUUGUUAUUUUUGCUUAGUGGCGGAAGGGUUAGUAAUACAUGGAUAACUUACCUUUAACUUUGGGAUAACAGACGGAAACGUUUGCUAAUACCAAAUGUGGUGAAAGAGAGUAUCUCUUUUUCAUUAAAGUGGGGGAUUUUCGAACCUCGUGGUUAAAGAUAGGUCCAUGCGAUAUCAGCUUGUUGGUGUGGUAAUGGCGCACCAAGGCUAAGACGUCUAGGCGGAUUGAGAGAUUG
rnacentral:rRNA from 1 species